CUCCGUCGCGCCUGUCCGGAAGCCAGGAACGUGGGCGCGCACACAAAGCUGCUGCCCAGAAGUGCUGGCGACCAGACGGUCUCCCGACGCGGGGGGAGUGCACGGAGUCCGCGCCGGGGCGGUUGGGGCGCCCGAAAGGCACGGGCUGCCAGCGCUGGCACUGCGCAGUCACUCCCUGGUGGUUUUGGCCACGGCUGCUGAAGAAUUUUCUCUCAGGGGGAAACACUUCUUUCCCACGUCAGAUGUUUCUUGAAGUACGGAGCGGGUGCCACUAACAUGACACUUGAUCCUCUAUUCCAGUACUACUAGCAAGUUCCCUAAUGUGGCAUCCUGCGAACAAAAUCUGCUUUUCCAGUGGCCCCAGGAGAUCCCCCAAAAGAGGUGAAAUCAGUGUUCGAGAAAUGGCCUUAUGAAGAGGGGAGCAGGACAACCUUAACUGACUCCUGACUUCAUACCCAGGAGGGAUACCAUAUCUGAAGCUGAUCUCAGCGGAUUUGAUGACUUCAGCCAGAUGGCAGAAAGAAGGGAGUGGAUGAAAUAAACUCACACCGCAGUGGCAGACUGGUUGAAGACUCACUGCAUUCACAGACUAUCCCAAGGACAUUUACAUUUUAAGACAGCACUUGUUAAGCUAAAGAAGUAGUCUGUAAUACCGGAUACCAGGCACUUUUCAAGGACAGUGAGGGGGAAUUUGGGGCAGAGGGACCUUUAAAUCACACCCCCAGGGCCAUAGUUCACUCUGCUACCUGAGGUUAGCUGUUGAUCUUAGAAACGUGUUGAUACGGUGUUCAGCCAAGAAGGCCAGGGAAAUAUGCUUCAGACCGGUUAAAGGGCAAGUCCUGGCCUUUCUCCCCACCCUGCUCAUCUCCUUGACCUCCUGCAGGGUGUUAUGUGACUGCACUCUCUGCAGAGUGGGUGCCAGGGCAGCAAAUGGAUCCCCUGUCAGCGAGGGCCCACCCCCGCAAAGCGGGAGCUGCACAAACCCACACAGUCAAGGGUCCUCACAUUGUCAUUCUUCAAGGCUGUUGACUUGUGGACUAAGUGGGUGUCGGUUACAGCCCUUUCACGUAGACAGAACCGAGAACCUUUGGCACGAGCUCUUAUCACCGUGUAAAGGUGAAAAAUUGAUUGGGAGAAAAUGUGGCACUUUAUGGUGCCUCGUGUCAGUUGAAAGUUUAGUCUGUACCACCAAAAUAAUAUGCAAAUCCACAUCCAGGCAGGCUUGUUUUCCCCCUUCAUUAGAGGAUUCUGCAUUAGGAAAUAAAAAUCUUUUACAGCAUAAAUGCAAAGGAAUAGCAGAGCAAGCACCGCGUACCCUUGCCCCUAAGCCUAGAUACAAACUGUAGUCACUCAUCAAGCUAUGUGGUGACAUGGUCUGCUUCCUGCUCGUCCUUGGGUCCUUGGGUAUUGUGACUGCUUGGUGAUGGGACAGACCUACAGAGACAAGGUUGGACGUGGCUGUCUUGCAUUCUAUUUUCCACCCCCUCUCCACACAUUUAUACUUCCCACAUUAAAUAAAAAUCUGAAAU